UACGGAGGGGACUAGCGUUGUUCGGAAUUACUGGGCGUAAAGCGCACGUAGGCGGAUUUGUAAGUCAGGGGUGAAAUCCCGGGGCUCAACCUCGGAACUGCCUCUGAUACAGCACGUCUUGAGUUCGAGAGAGGUGGGUGGAAUUCCUAGUGUAGAGGUGAAAUUCGUAGAUAUUAGGAAGAACACCGGUGGCGAAGGCGGCCCACUGGCUCGAUACUGACGCUGAGGUGCGAAAGCGUGGGGAGCAAACAGG
rnacentral:rRNA from 1 species